rnacentral:rRNA from 1 species
AUCAGAAGUGCGAAUGCUGACGUGAGUAACGACAAAACGGGUGAAAAACCCGUUCGCCGAAAGACCAAGGGUUCCAGUCCAACGUUAAUCGGGGCUGGGUGAGUCGACCCCUAAGGCGAGGCCGAAAGGCGUAGUCGAUGGGAAAAUGGUUAAUAUUCCAUUACUUCUGUGUAAUGCGAUGAGAGGACGGAGAAGGCUAAAUCAGCCUGGCGUUGGUUGUCCAGGUGAAAGGAUGUAGGCAUGUAUCUUAGGCAAAUCCGGGGUACUCUAUGCUGAGAUCUGAUAGCAAGCUGUACUUGUACAGCGAAGUGGUUGAUGCCAUGCUUCCAGGAAAAGUCUCUAAGCUUCAGUUACACAGGAAUCGUACCCGAAACCGACACAGGUGGUCAGGUCGAGUAGACCAAGGCGCUUGAGAGAACUCUGCUGAAGGAACUAGGCAAAAUGGUACCGUAACUUCGGGAGAAGGUACGCUGUUGUUGGUGAUGGAACUCGCUUCCUGAGCUGACGACAGCCGCAGAAACCAGGCCGCUGCAACUGUUUAUUAAAAACAUAGCACUCUGCAAACACGAAAGUGGACGUAUAGGGUGUGAUGCCUGCCCGGUGCUGGAAGGUUAAUUGAUGGGGUUAGCGUAAGCGAAGCUCUUGAUCGAAGCCCCAGUAAACGGCGGCCGUAACUAUAACGGUCCUAAGGUAGCGAAAUUCCUUGUCGGGUAAGUUCCGACCUGCACGAAUGGCAUAAUGAUGGCGGCGCUGUCUCCAGCAGAGGCUCAGUGAAAUCGAAAUCGCUGUGAAGAUGCAGUGUACCCGCGGCUAGACGGAAAGACCCCGUGAACCUUUACUGCAGCUUGACACUGAACUUUGACCUUACUUGUGUAGGAUAGGUGGGAGGCUUUGAAGCUGGAACGCUAGUUCCAGUGGAGCCGUCCUUGAAAUACCACCCUGGUAAUGUUGAGGUUCUAACUCUGUCCCGUGAUCCGGGACGAGGACCGUGUCUGGUGGGUAGUUUGACUGGGGCGGUCUCCUCCUAAAGAGUAACGGAGGAGUACGAAGGUGCGCUCAGCGUGGUCGGAAAUCACGCGUAGAGUAUAAAGGCAAAAGCGCGCUUAACUGCGAGACCCACAAGUCGAGCAGGUACGAAAGUAGGUCUUAGUGAUCCGGUGGUUCUGUAUGGAAGGGCCAUCGCUCAACGGAUAAAAGGUACUCUGGGGAUAACAGGCUGAUACCGCCCAAGAGUUCAUAUCGACGGCGGUGUUUGGCACCUCGAUGUGGGCUCAUCUCAUCCUGGGGCUGAAGCAGGUCCCAAGGGUAUGGCUGUUCGCCAUUUAAAGAGGUACGCGAGCUGGGUUUAGAACGUCGUGAGACAGAUCGGUCCCUAUCUACCGUGGGCGCUGGAAAUUUGAGAGGAUCUGCUCCUAGUACGAGAGGACCAGAGUGGACGAACCUCUGGUGUACCGGUUGUGACGCCAGUCGCAUCGCCGGGUAGCUAUGUUCGGAAGGGAUAACCGCUGAAAGCAUCUAAGCGGGAAGCCUACCUCAAGAUAAGAUUUCCCUAGGACUUUAUGUCCUCUAAAGAGCCGUUCGAGACUAGGACGUUGAUAGGUUGGAUGUGGAAGCAUAGUGAUAUGUGAAGCUGACCAAUACUAAUUGCUCGUGAGGCUUGACUA